rnacentral:rRNA from 1 species
AUUGAACGCUGGCGGCAUGCUUUACACAUGCAAGUCGAACGGUAACAGGGUGCUUGCACCGCUGACGAGUGGCGAACGGGUGAGUAAUGCGUCGGAACGUGCCGAGUAGUGGGGGAUAACGCAGCGAAAGUUGUGCUAAUACCGCAUACGUACUGAGGUAGAAAGUGGGGGACCUUCGGGCCUCACGCUAUUCGAGCGGCCGACGUCUGAUUAGCUAGUAGGUGAGGUAAAGGCUCACCUAGGCGACGAUCAGUGGCGGGUCUGAGAGGAUGAUCCGCCACACUGGGACUGGGACACGGGCCAGACUCCUACGAGAGGCAGCAGUGGGGAAUUUUGGACAAUGGGCGAAAGCCUGAUCCAGCCAUGCCGCGUGUCUGAAGAAGGCCUUCGGGUUGUAAAGGACUUUUGUCAGGGAGGAAAUCCCUAGUGCUAAUAACACUGGGGGAUGACAGUACCUGAAGAAUAAGCACCGGCUAACUACGUGCCAGCCGCCGCGGUAA